GGGAAAGGCGAAAAGAACCCCUGUGAGGGGAGUGAAAUAGAACCUGAAACCGUGUACGUACAAGCAGUAGGAGCAGGCUUUGUCCUGUGACUGCGUACCUUUUGUAUAAUGGGUCAGCGACUUAUAUUCAGUGGCAAGGUUAACCAUCUAGGGGAGCCGUAGGGAAACCGAGUCUUAACUGGGCGUUCAGUCUCUGGAUAUAGACCCGAAACCAGGUGAUCUAGCCAUGGGCAGGUUGAAGGUUGAGUAACAUCAACUGGAGGACCGAACCGACUAAUGUUGAAAAAUUAGCGGAUGACUUGUGGCUAGGGGUGAAAGGCCAAUCAAACCUGGAGAUAGCUGGUUCUCCCCGAAAGCUAUUUAGGUAGCGCCUCGGACGAAUACUACUGGGGGUAGAGCACUGUUAAGGCUAGGGGGUCAUCCCGACUUACCAACCCUUUGCAAACUCCGAAUACCAGUAAGUACUAUCCGGGAGACACACGGCGGGUGCUAACGUCCGUCGUGGAGAGGGAAACAACCCAGACCGCCAGCUAAGGUCCCAAAUUACUACUAAGUGGGAAACGAUGUGGGAAGGCUCAGACAGCCAGGAUGUUGGCUUAGAAGCAGCCAUCAUUUAAAGAAAGCGUAAUAGCUCACUGGUCGAGUCGGCCUGCGCGGAAGAUGUAACGGGGCUAAGUAGUAAACCGAAGCUGCGGCAAUGUGCUUUUGCACAUUGGGUAGGGGAGCGUUCUGUAAGCGGUUGAAGGUGUGUGGUAACGCAUGCUGGACGUAUCAGAAGUGCGAAUGCUGACAUGAGUAACGAUAAAGGGGGUGAAAAACCUCCUCGCCGGAAGACCAAGGGUUCCUGUCCAACGUUAAUCGGGGCAGGGUAAGUCGACCCCUAAGGCGAGGCCGAAAGGCGUAGUCGAUGGGAAACGGGUUAAUAUUCCCGUACUUCUUACAAUUGCGAUGGGGGGACGGAGAAGGCUAGGUGGGCCUGGCGACGGUUGUCCAGGUUCAAGUGCGUAGGCUUAAGAGUUAGGUAAAUCCGGCUCUUUUUAAGGCUGAGACACGACGUCGAGCAUCUACGGAUGUGAAGUCAUUGAUGCCAUGCUUCCAGGAAAAGCCUCUAAGCUUCAGAUUGUAAGGAAUC
rnacentral:rRNA from 1 species